GUGGGGAAUAUUGGACAAUGGGCGAAAGCCUGAUCCAGCCAUGCCGCGUGUGUGAAGAAGGUCUUCGGAUUGUAAAGCACUUUAAGUUGGUAGGAAGGGCAGUAAGUUAAUACCUUGCUGUUUUGACGUUACCGACAGAAUAAGCACCGGCUAACUUCGUGCCAGCAGCCGCGGUAAUACGAAGGGUGCAAGCGUUAAUCGGAAUUACUGGGCGUAAAGCGCGCGUAGGUGGUUUUGUAAGUUGGAGGUGAAAUCCCCGGGCUCAACCUGGGAACUGCCUCCAAAACUGCAUGACUAGAGUACGGUAGAGGGUAGUGGAAUUUCCUGUGUAGCGGUGAAAUGCGUAGAUAUAGGAAGGAACACCAGUGGCGAAGGCGACUACCUGGACUGAUACUGACACUGAGGUGCGAAAGCGUGGGGAGCAAACAGGAUUAGAUACCCCUGUAGUCC
rnacentral:rRNA from 1 species